AUGCGCGACGUCACCCUCCGCGCGAAAGGAGAAAAAAGUUCCUCGCGUUCCCGAUUGGCAGAGUGGUUUGCAAGUGAAUCGACUAUCCGUUUGGUAAAAAUUAAACACAGAUUCCUCCUUAGAGGGGUUACUAUCCCUGACGAGCCUUAAAAGAUAGUUUUUCCGGGAAUGAGUCUCUUUUUAAAACAAGUCCGCGCCUUGAAUGCCUUGGGUGAAACCUAGCCUUGAGUCUUGUCCCACAAUGCUCUGCGGUGUUAACGGCCUUUGGCGGGAAAGCCUGCUGGGGGCGGAGCCAAGGGGGGGGAGGGACCUGGCGGUUGCUCCAGAAACGCGAACAUCCUCGGAGAGUGGGGCUGGUUUGGGAACUCUGGUGCUUGGGAUUCAGUCCCGAGCCGAGACGUGACUUUUGUCUUCCUGCCCUUUCUCCUCCGCACAGGCGGCGGUUUGCUUAGACACGUGUCUAAUUUAGAGCAACCCAGCUUAGAUUACUUAGUAAAUACUCUGCGCUAAGUACCGUUCUGCUGUGGGUUCAAAACGUAACUUUGUGUAGCUCGCUUGAGCACACCUUGUUCUAGUGGCAGUGGUUCGAGCCCUGAGAAGUCAACCAGGACUCAGAUUUCAGCCUCUCUUUAAUCGCCUACCGGUUAGGCCUAGCGCAGAGGAGAAGUUCGGUGAAGGGUUUGAAGAGUGAAUUGUGCCUGUUGCCUGUCCAGCCCUUUCGGAGAUUAAGAAAAAGCGUGUGUGUGUGUUUGCAGAAUCCUGAAGUUUGUACCUCUUUCUGAAGUCACCCCUGGACCUCUCAGGGCUUAUCCGUAUGUAGAUGCACGUGUGUUUUUAAAAUAACUAGUUGGAAGAACAUCCCAUGUUCCUCCUUGCUGACCUGUUUCAUGUGCUGUGCAAUGACCUAUUCUUUUAACAGUACAUUUGGAGGAAGGUGCUGAAGGAUAUGUUCCCCUAAAAGAAAGAAGUAAACCAAGAAAAAAGAAGACAUUGGAUGCAGAGAACAAGAAGUUUAUGUAGAGAGAGACAAAGGAAUUUCCAGCAUGUUCCAGCAUGAUGUCAGAGAGCAAACCCAGGAGGACAAUUCUGCAGCUCUGUUUGAGGACAGCUAGUCUAGAUGGGAGCAGGACACUGAGAAACUGCAGGUGUGGUGUCUCUAGCAGGGGAAAAAAUAAUGGAUAGAUCAUCUGACAAAUGACCAUGUAGAACUUGUACUGAAAUAUUUCAGUAUUGAGUAUUGCAAAAUUUAACUAAGUUCAAAGAAAUUUAAGUACACGAAAAAUGAGGCUGGUGUAUCCCUACAAUGGGAUAUUACUCAGCAGUUAAAUGAGCUAUGAGAAGAUGUGGAUGAAUCUGAAAUGCCUACUGAUAGGGGAAAGAAGCUAGCCUGAAAAAACCACAUCUGUAUGAUUCCAAUUAUAUGACUUUUGGGAAAGACAAAACUAUGGAAAUGAUAAACAGAUCAGUGGUUGUCAGCGGUUUAGGAGGAUGGGAGUGAAACACGUGGGUUUCUUAGGGUGAUGCAACUAUUCUGUGUGAUACUCUAAUGGUGAAUAUAAGACAUUAAAACCUGUAGAAUUUUUUCAAAAACCCACAGAACUUUACAGCACGAAGAGUAUACUUUAAUUCAUGCAAAUUUUAUUUUUUAAUUUUAAAAUAUUUUAUUUAUUUAUUUGAUAGAAAUCACAAACAGGCGGAAAGGCAGGCGGGGGCGGGGGAAGCAGGCUCCUCACUGAGCAGAGAGCCCGCUGUGGGGCUCGAUCCCAGGACCCUGGGAUCAUGACCUGAGUCGAAGGUAGAGGCUUAACCCACUGAGCCACCCAGGCGCCCUGUGCAGGCAAAUUUUAAGUAUAAUCUAGGAGGUUGAGGGAACUCAGUAUAAAAUGCAUAGUGUGACAAACGAAUCUAAAUAUAUUGCAAAUAUAUGAAGAAACCUCUCUGGAGGUUCUGAGAGAAUAAAGGUCUGACCCAAGUAACUUUGGAAAUGAGUGCAGUCUGUAAAACUAAAGGCAAAGGCAGUGUACAAAAGUACUGUAUGCAGACUGCUUAAAAAAAAAAAAUAAACUAGUUGCUUCCUGGGUUAAUAAUUCUGAAAAAACUGUGUAUAUUGGAAUUGAACCGUAAGUAAGUGGAUGACUGAUGGUGAGAGCUAUGUUCUUGUUGGAUUGGGAGUUUAUAGAUAAGUAAGGGGAAGAUGUAGGAAUGAUCCAUGUGGUACUUGGAAUAGAAUUGGAGAUGGUAUGAACUUGUGUUUAUAUGGAGAGACUCAGCUACCUAUGGAAAUAUUUAUAGAUAUGUGGGUCUACACAGAUUAGUACACUAUGUAUGUCUCCUGUAUCUGUCAGCUGGAAGAGCCUAGAAGCAAGACACCCUAGUACCAGUGAGCACACUAGCACUCAGAUCUUGGCUUCUAAUACCGUUCUCCGACAAAAGAAACCAGAGUUCCUUGGAGAAAUGACUGAUUCUAAAACUGGAAUAGAAAAAGUACAAUAUGAGCCUGUAGCAUUUUGUAGUACCAAAAAGUAAGAGAAUACUUAAAAAAAAAAAAUUAAGAGUGCCCGGGUGGCUCAGUCUGUUUGCCAUCCUAUUUUUUAUUUCAUCUGAGUCAUGAUUGUGGGGUUGAGCCCUAUAUCAGACUCAGUGCCCAGUGGGAAGCCUGCUUGAGAUGCUCUCUCCCUCUCUGACUGUGCCCCACCCUGCUCUCUCUCAAAUAAAUAAAUAUUUUAAAAAUUAAAUUAGUUUUAAAAAUCCCACCACAAGGAUGGAGAUAUGUUAAAAGGAUACAGAAGCCACCUGACAGAACUCCAAUGGCCAAGCUGGAACAAUUUAAAAAUAAUGAAAAAAAAGUUGCAUUGGAUGAUAACCCAAAGUAUAAAAAAUAGAUAUCCAUGAGUCCACACUGUAUACAUAAAUGAUUGAAUAAAUGGGGAGAAUAGACAAAUCUUCGAGAUAGAAGAAUUCCAAAUAACUUACGCAGAGCUAGGUUAUCAUUAGGCAGAGCUGAACAUAGUGACUUCCUUUCAAAGAGUAUAGUAUAGAAAUGGGGGGAGGGGCAGUUAACACUCCCUUAAGCCAGAAGAUCAAGGUUAGUGCCAACAGUGAUAAGUCGUAUCAAUAGUAGGUACUCUCACUGAUGAGAAUGGUCUUCUUCCCAAAAAUAAAUUACGCUAGUCUAAUCAUGAUUAAAAACACAAGACAAGGGGCGCCUGGGUGGCUCAGUGGGUUAAAGCCUCUGCCUUCGGCUCGGGUCAUGAUCCCAGGGUCCUGGGUUUGAGCCCCACAUCAGGCUCUCUGCUCAGUAGGGAGCCUGCUUCCCUUCCUCUCUCUUUGCCUGCCUCUCUGCCGACUCGUGAUCUCUGUCAAAUAAAUAAAUAAAUAAUCUUAAAAAAAAAAAAAAAAGACAAAUCCUAAUUGACAGUUAUUCUACAAAAUACCUGACUAGCAUUCCUCAAAACUGUCAAAGUCAUAAAAACAAAGGAUGGUCUGGGAAACUCUCAGAACCAAAAAGAGUCCAAGGAGACAGGAUCCUGGAACAGAAACAAAACAAAACAAAACAUUAAGGAAAAACUGAGGAAAUCUGAAUAGAAUAUUGACUUUAGUUAAUAAUGCAUCAUUAUUGAUUCACUAAUUGUGACAACUGUACCCCAGUGUAAGUAACAGAAAUUGAUAAUAAGGGAAACUAGGUGGAGGCUUUAUGGGAUCUCUCUGUUGUAUCUUUGCGAUAUUCUGUAAAUCCAAAGCUGUUCGAAAAUGGAAAUGUUUAUUUUAAAACUUGAGUUAAUUAUUAAUUCAAGGGAAACUAAAUAGAUUUACAGGAGAUGAAGUAAAAUCAUAGUAUACAGUUGGAUCAGCCUUGAACAAUAUUUACAUAGUCAUGGUAACUCAAAUGUGAAACAUGGACCCAAGAAAAGAUGGUGAUAUAUUUGGAAGUUGCAUUUAUCAUAAGAAAUCACUGGAGACCACCUGCAAUUGAUGAAUCAAAAGAACACUAUAUCACAGAGAGGUGGAGGUUACUACAUGAAGAGCUAAAAGAAUGGAAAGUGUUUAGGACUGGAAUUGACCAGGAGCUAUUGUUUUUUGUUGUCACAAGUCACUAUUUCACUUUUUAAAACUAUGUUGAAGAGUAGAGUUUACAUUGGAAAGCCUGGAGUACUUGGAUAAAAAUUUUAAAAUAUUGUGUCUAAUGACAAUAAACAUUUCAAAUUAAAAUCACACAUUCGAUAAGGUUAAAUUCUCUAAUAUGUUGGCUUUUCUAAUACAUUUCAAACAUCUAUGUUAUCGAAAACUUUAUGGGAUAGUAAAAAUUCUCUUAUCUAAGGGAAGCCAACCAACUAAACUUACUUAAAGACUCAGGGCCACAACAUAGUUCUAGAUUUGAAUUAUGGUGUGAUAUUCUGGGUUGAGACCCUGGUUCUUAGUUACUAAUUCCACAAUGAUUCUACCUAAACUCCAGGUUUUCAUGCCAAUCUCCUCUUACAGUUCCAGAAAUACCACCUGCAGAUGCAGGCAGGAGAGGCUCCUGCUCUGGUUUUAGCACAUAGCACAAAUACACAUUUAUUUGAAAAACACAGGUGCCUGACUGGCUCAGUCAGGAGAGCAUGUGACUCUUGAUCUCGGGGUUGUGGGUUCGAGCCCAUGGUAGUGAUUACUUAAAAAAAAACAAAAACAAAAACCAACUUAAAACACACACACACACACACGCCUCAAUUUUGUUAUGUAUAUUUUACCAAAUAUUAAAAAAUCCUUUCUCCCCCUAACAAAAAAAUGGCAAUCUUAGGCAUAAGUAGGCCUCUGAAUGUGGUCAUUCCCCCCCCCACACACAUAAAUGUUAGUACUUGCUACAUGUAGAAGAGGAAAAAACAAAAAACAGAACCCUCAGCCCCAACACAUACAUACACACGCACACGCACACGCGCACACAGGUGCUUCUGUCAUUCUGGAUUCUCUGUGUGGAAUUAGCAUGAUUUCUCCUAAACUACUUUUCUCUUGAGGAAUGCUCUUCAGGCCCCAGAGCUCAUGCCCAGUGUCUGACACAGAAUGGGUUGUGCUGCUGUCUGUUUUGGGGACAGAAUGCUCUGGAUUUGAGUGGCCAAGGGUUUAGGUAAGAGGAAAAGACAGACUAACUUGUUAAAUCCCUUCUCUCAGAUCAUAAAUGCAAUAGAUUCUUACAUAAUAUACUAUUUCCCAGUAGUGCAAAGCACCCAUUUUUCUUGCUUCUCUUUAUGUUCCAUUUGUGGUUCACAGUAAUUAGGGUGGUGUUUGCAAAAGUUACACAGAGGGGCUGAGAAAUAUGUUGCAAUAUUAAACAACUAUUACUCUUCAGUGUGUAUGUAUGUAGGUAAUAUGAUGUGUGAAGCAUGAUGGAGAUAAUUUCUAUGAGUCACUAGAUGGACAUUGAGUGCUAGAAUUGAGAACGGUUUUGUUUUUAUAAAGAUAUUAAGAUUUCAUUAAAAUUUCCCCCCAAUUUAAAUUAAAACAUCUAUUUUAUUUAGAGUAUCUUAAUUGAAAUGUUGGUAUUUGCUUAUUCUAAUUUGAGUUUUCUUUUAAUUUUAAUAGAUGAUAUUUAAUUUUUAGAGGAAACCUGAAGACAUGAAUAUAACUUUACAUUUUAAAUAUUUGACGUUUACUUUAACAUUUUUGAUGAAAUGUAUUUCAAUUGUAUAUAAUUUCAAUAAAAUGACAUUUUGUUUUU